rnacentral:rRNA from 1 species
AACGAACGCUGGCGGCAGGCUUAACACAUGCAAGUCGAACGGGUGUAGCAAUACAUCAGUGGCAGACGGGUGAGUAACACGUGGGAACCUUCCUAGGGGUACGGAACAACUCAGGGAAACUUGAGCUAAUACCGUAUACGUCCGUGAGGAGAAAGAUUUAUCGCCCUUAGACGGGCCCGCGUCGGAUUAGGUAGUUGGUGGGGUAACGGCCUACCAAGCCUACGAUCCGUAGCUGAUCUGAGAGGAUGAUCAGCCACACUGGGACUGAGACACGGCCCAGACUCCUACGGGAGGCAGCAGUGGGGAAUCUUGGACAAUGGGCGCAAGCCUGAUCCAGCCAUGCCGCGUGAGUGAAGAAGGCCU